UUGAAUUAUGCAAUUUCUUUCUCCUUCUCAUUCUUAGUCCUUCGUUCUCCUCUCUUAUCCUUCGUUUCAGUGUCCAUUGUAGCCACCUAGCCUAGAUCCGCAACAUCUCCUGCGUCCACGACGGUGACCUCAACCCUAGCCUAGCUCCUCUCUUACCUCAGCCAACUAACAGUGGCGGUGAAUUCGAAAACGAAGAAGAAAGAACUCUUGUCUCGGUGUGCAGCGCCGAAUCCAUGGCAAGGCUGACGGAGAUGGCGACGUUCUGAGUCCCGUUCUGUACCGCAAAGUUGCGCGGAUUUGUGAAGUUCCACAACCUCGCUAAGAUUUCGCGGCCAAACAAGAAUAAUAAGAGGAAGGAGGGAAUGGAAGUGGAAGACGGUAGGCCGUGGGGCAUAACGAUUUCCGUGGUUGAGGUACAAAGACCAGUGGAACAAAGACGAACAACUAACAGCCACGACAACAGAUGUUCUCUCUGGAGGAUAUUACUUCUAGCUCUUUUGAUUGCAGAAUUGACUUUCUUAUGGAGAUCUCAUCUAUCAGAGAAUUAGCUGAUAUGACAUGAUGCCCUUGCAGAUGAAUUAGCCAUGCUGAAGCAAGUAAAUGAGUUUGCUGCAAAGGGUCUCAGUCCUCCAAGAAAGAAUGCAUUUGCCAGAAUGACCAGAAUAGCUUCACUUGAGAACAUGCUGAGUAUAUAAUCUAAUUCACUUGUUGCAAUACCUUCUAAACUUUCUGAGGCAGAAGAACGAGAAAGAGCCAUCUCUAAUCGUGGACGCUGGAAUCAAUUGCGUUCAUUGGGAGAAGCGAAGAAUUUGCUUCAAUAUAUGUUUAAUUCUGCUGCACAUGCUAGGUGCCAACUCUGGGAGAAGGACAUGGAGUUAAGGGAAAUGAAAGAUCAAAUAAAAGAACUUGUUGGUCUCUUACGCCAAAGUGAGAUGAAGAGAAAAGAAGUUGAGAAGGAACUAAAAGUGAGAGAACAAGCUAAUGGAAGCACACUGGCUACACCACCUUCCGUAAGAAUAUUGUUACUGAGUUAUCUGCUAAUUACAUUUACUAAAAACUUUAAUUAAUAAGAUUGGAAUUCAACUUACUUCCUCAUAAGGUAAUUUCUUCUUUUUGAUGGACGUAUUCAAAGCGUCAAUUUUGUUAUAUUUGGUAUAGCUAGUUAUAGAUUCCAAGUACCAUAGUUAAAGAUUCCAAAGUAAAAAGUUUGUUCUAAUUAUUUAGUUAAAAGUUUUGAAAUUUUGAUAGGAAAUUUUAUUUGGUCCAGAGGGAUAUUGAAAAAGGAAAAUUAAUUACUGCAUUAAUUACUGCAUUAAGCUUUAAUAAAACUCAUGGAUUUUAUUAAAGUUUUAGAGAAAAUCUCUACAGGGAAAAUUUAUUCAUGUAAUAAUAAUAGAUCAUAUAUUCUAACUGCUAUUUUGUUCCCCUUGACGUGCUCAUGAAUUUCUUGGCUUUCAUGUAGGUUAUGCAGAGAAUGAUAUACGUGCUGAAUUUUUGUAUGAUUAUAGAAGGAAAGAGUUAGGCUUUGCUAUAUAUUAGGUGAUAUGUUUUAGGAUCAGUCCUAUUCAUGUGGCUCAGUAUUUUUCGAACCACAAGAAUUAUCUUAGACACAUGCAUUGGAAAUAAUAGAGCACUAGGUGCAGGUAAAUUAAUGGUGACCAUUCUUUUUUAAAUUUGUCUUCAGUUAAAACUUCUUGCAAACCACUGUCAAACCUGUGGUCUCAAAAAAUUGUAUAGUCCAAUAUUCUUUAAACGAAUACAUAACUGACCUUUCAACUUUUCAUUUUGCUAUAUUUUGUGCUAAUUAUUAGUUAUAUAUAAUUCGAACAUUAUUAUCCAAAAAAGUUUAGUAUGGUAUUGAUCUAACAUCCAUCGUUUCUUU